AGCGAACGCUGGCGGCAGGCCUAACACAUGCAAGUCGAACGAACCCUUCGGGGUUAGUGGCGGACGGGUGAGUAACACGUGGGAACGUGCCUUUAGGUUCGGAAUAACCCAGGGAAACUUGUGCUAAUACCGAAUGUGCCCUUCGGGGGAAAGAUUUAUCGCCUUUAGAGCGGCCCGCGUCUGAUUAGCUAGUUGGUGAGGUAAUGGCUCACCAAGGCUACGACCAGUAGCUGGUCUGAGAGGAUGACCAGCCACAUUGGGACUGAGACACGGCCCAAACUCCUACGGGAGGCAGCAGUGGGGAAUCUUGCGCAAUGGGCGAAAGCCUGACGCAGCCAUGCCGCGUGGAUGAUGAAGGUCUUAGGAUUGUAAAAUCCUUUCACCGGUGAAGAUAAUGACUGUAGCCGGAGAAGAAGCCCCGGCUAACUUCGUGCCAGCCGCCGCUGUAACAC
rnacentral:rRNA from 1 species